GAUGCUUUUUAAAGUAAUGAAGUGAAAUACUCUUUUCUAUUACUAGCCAAGUAGAAGAAUUGUCUCUCGUUUUCCCUGGUGUGUUUUGACUUAACAUAAGUCCAGAGAUUUUGCCUUGUUUUUUAAGCUGGUUGCAUUUUCAAUUCCUUUUGAUUGAAGCUUUAUAUCCUCGAAUGUGCCUACCUACAUUUAUUCCGUAGUGUUCUAGCCAUUG
rnacentral:lncRNA from 1 species